rnacentral:rRNA from 1 species
AGUCGAACGCUUCUUUCCUCCCGAGUGCUUGCACUCAAUUGGAAAGAGGAGUGGCGGACGGGUGAGUAACACGUGGGUAACCUACCCAUCAGAGGGGGAUAACACUUGGAAACAGGUGCUAAUACCGCAUAACAGUUUAUGCCGCAUGGCAUAAGAGUGAAAGGCGCUUUCGGGUGUCGCUGAUGGAUGGACCCGCGGUGCAUUAGCUAGUUGGUGAGGUAACGGCUCACCAAGGCCACGAUGCAUAGCCGACCUGAGAGGGUGAUCGGCCACACUGGGACUGAGACACGGCCCAGACUCCUACGGGAGGCAGCAGUAGGGAAUCUUCGGCAAUGGACGAAAGUCUGACCGAGCAACGCCGCGUGAGUGAAGAAGGUUUUCGGAUCGUAAAACUCUGUUGUUAGAGAAGAACAAGGACGUUAGUAACUGAACGUCCCCUGACGGUAUCUAACCAGAAAGCCACGGCUAACUACGUGCCAGCAGCCGCGGUAAUACGUAGGUGGCAAGCGUUGUCCGGAUUUAUUGGGCGUAAAGCGAGCGCAGGCGGUUUCUUAAGUCUGAUGUGAAAGCCCCCGGCUCAACCGGGGAGGGUCAUUGGAAACUGGGAGACUUGAGUGCAGAAGAGGAGAGUGGAAUUCCAUGUGUAGCGGUGAAAUGCGUAGAUAUAUGGAGGAACACCAGUGGCGAANGCGGCUCUCUGGUCUGUAACUGACGCUGAGGCUCGAAAGCGUGGGGAGCNAACAGGANNAGAUACCCCUG